rnacentral:misc_RNA from 1 species
GGAGCCCGCACUGCCCGAAUGUGGUGGUGGGGUGCUCAGAUGGCGGAGACACUGGCAAGUCGGUCGCCGGCAACGGCCACGGAUCUUCUAGUACAGCUGCUCUUCGGGGUGGUGGGAACGAGGCUGUGGUGCGGCUGGGGACGGAUGUAAGCACCCUGUUGGGUCCUGAAGGAACAACCCGAGUGGUUGUCUUUCAGAGCCUUGAGAUGCCCCUGGGCGGUGUUCCGGGGGCGGAAGGCGCCAGGCAUGGCCUGGUCUCGCAUACCGCCGGCGGUUUGCCGGGUUUGGUGUGGGGCUGAUCGGGUUGUGGGUUGGU